rnacentral:rRNA from 1 species
UACGUAGGGGGCAAGCGUUGUCCGGAAUUAUUGGGCGUAAAGAGCGUGUAGGCGGCCAGAUAAGUCCGCUGUGAAAUCUCGAGGCUCAACUUCGAGCUGUCGGUGGAAACUAUCUGGCUAGAGUCCGGAAGAGGAGAAUGGAAUUCCUGGUGUAGCGGUGAAAUGCGCAGAUAUCAGGAAGAACACCCGUGGCGAAGGCGGUUCUCUGGGCCGACAUUGACGCUGAGGAGCGAAAGCGUGGGGAGCGAACAGG